rnacentral:rRNA from 1 species
AGUGAACGCUGGCGGUAGGCCUAACACAUGCAAGUCGAACGGCAGCACAGUAAGCGCUUGCUCUUACGGGUGGCGAGUGGCGGACGGGUGAGGAAUACAUCGGAAUCUACUUUUUCGUGGGGGAUAACGUAGGGAAACUUACGCUAAUACCGCAUACGACCUACGGGUGAAAGCAGGGGAUCUUCGGACCUUGCGCGAUUGAAUGAGCCGAUGUCGGAUUAGCUAGUUGGCGGGGUAAAGGCCCACCAAGGCGACGAUCCGUAGCUGGUCUGAGAGGAUGAUCAGCCACACUGGAACUGAGACACGGUACAGACUCCUACGGGAGGCAGCAGUGGGGAAUAUUGGGCAAUGGGCGCAAGCCUGAUCCAGCCAUACCGCGUGAGUGAAGAAGGCCUUCGGGUUGUAAAGCCCUUUUGUUGGGAAAGAAAAGCAGCAGGUUAAUACCCCGCUGUUCUGACGGUACCCAAAGAAUAAGCACCGGCUAACUUCGUG